CUCGGCAACGGAUAUCUCGGCUCUCGCAUCGAUGAAGAACGUAGCGAAAUGCGAUACUUGGUGUGAAUUGCAGAAUCCCGUGAACCAUCGAGUCUUUGAACGCAAGUUGCGCCCGAAGCCAUUCGGCUGAGGGCACGUCUGCCUGGGUGUCACGC
rnacentral:rRNA from 2 species